rnacentral:tRNA from 1 species
UGGGAUGUCGUCUAACGGCAGGACAUGGGGCUCUGGACCCCAGGGUCGGGGUUCGAAUCCCUGCAUCCCAGCCA